rnacentral:rRNA from 1 species
UACGUAGGGGGCAAGCGUUGUCCGGAUUUAUUGGGCGUAAAGCGCGUGUAGGCGGCCACACAGGUCCGCUGUGAAAACUCGAGGCUCAACCUCGAGCUGUCGGUGGAAACCGUGUGGCUAGAGUCCGGAAGAGGAGACUGGAAUUCCCGGUGUAGCGGUGGAAUGCGCAGAUAUCAGGAGGAACACCGGUGGCGAAGGCGGAUCUCUGGGCCAUUACUGACGCUGAGGAGCGAAAGCGUGGGGAGCGAACAGG